AAAAAGGGCUUCUAUUGUGAGUGGCACACAUAGGGCAGCUCCAUUGCUCUUCGUGCAGAAUUGACAUCAAGAGAUUUCAGAAGCAUAAUUUUUUGGUACCCAGGCAGCUUGUGAUCAUUGGUCCUGAAAGAAAAAAAAAAAAAAAGAGUCAGAUGCUUAACCGACUAGGCAACCAGGUGCCCCU